AGAGGCUACUGCUAUCGGGGUUCGAUUAAGCCAUGCGAGUUAAAUGUUCUUCGUGAACAUAGCGAACUGCUCAGUAACACGUGGAUAACCUACCCUUAGGACCGGAAUAACCCCGGGAAACUGGGGAUAAUACCGGAUAAGCCAUAGACGCUGGAAUGCCCUAUGGUUCAAAGCUCCGGCGCCUAAGGAUGGAUCUGCGGUCUAUCAGGUUGUAGUGGGUGUAACGUACCUACUAGCCGACGACGGAUACGGGUUGUGAGAGCAAGAGCCCGGAGAUGGAUUCUGAGACACGAAUCCAGGCCCUACGGGGUGCAGCAGGCGCGAACACUUUACAAUGCGGGAAACCGCGAUAAGGGAACCCCGAGUGCCAGCAUCAAAUGUUGGCUGUCCGGAUGAUUAAAAAUCAUUUGUUAGCAAGGGCCGGGCAGGACCGGUGCCAGCCGCCGCGGUAACACCGGCGGCCCGAGUGGUAGCCGUUUUUAUUGGGUCUAAAGGGUCCGUAGCCGGCUUGAUAAGUCCUUUGGGAAAUCUGGCAGCUUAACUGUCAGGCUUCUAAGGGAUACUGUCAGGCUUGGGACCGGAAGAGGUAAGGGGUACUCCAGGGGUAGGAGUGAAAUCUUGUAAUCCCUGGGGGACCAUCUGUGGCGAAGGCGCCUUACCAGAACGGGUCCGACGGUGAGGGACGAAAGCUAGGGGAGCAAACCGGAUUAGAUACCCGGGUAGUCCUAGCUGUAAACGAUGCUCGCUAGGUGUCAGACACGGUGCGACCGUGUUUGGUGCCGCAGGGAAGCCGUUAAGCGAGCCACCUGGGAAGUACGGUCGCAAGGCUGAAACUUAAAGGAAUUGGCGGGGGAGCACUACAACGGGUGGAGCCUGCG
rnacentral:rRNA from 1 species